rnacentral:rRNA from 1 species
ACUCCUACGGGAGGCAGCAGCAAGGAAUUUUCCGCAAUGGGCGCAAGCCUGACGGAGCAACGCCGCGUGCGGGAUGACGCCUUUCGGGGUGUAAACCGCUGUUCGUGGGGACGAAGCACUGACGGUACCCACGGAGGAAGGCCCGGCUAACUACGUGCCAGCAGCCGCGGUAAUACGUAGGGGCCGAGCGUUGUCCGGAGUUACUGGGCGUAAAGCGUGCGCAGGCGGCGUAUCGCGCCCGGCGUGAAAGCCCCCGGCUCAACCGGGGAGGGUCGUCGGGGACGGGUACGCUUGAGGGCAGCAGGGGCUGGUUGAAUUCCCGGUGUAGUGGUGAAAUGCGUAGAGAUCGGGAGGAACACCUGUGGCGAAGGCGGCCAGCUGGGCUGCACCUGACGCUGAGGCACGAAGGCGUGGGGAGCGAACGGGAUUAGAUACCCCGGUAGUCCACGCAGUAAACGAUGCAGACUAGGCGUGGGGGGACUUGACCCCCCUCCGUGCCGGAGCUAACGCGGGAAGUCUGCCGCCUGGGGAGUACGGCCGCAAGGCUAAAACUCAAAGGAAUUGACGGGGGCCCGCACAAGCGGCGGA